rnacentral:rRNA from 1 species
UACGUAGGGGGCAAGCGUUGUCCGGAAUCAUUGGGCGUAAAGAGCGUGUAGGCGGCUCGAUAAGUCCGCUGUGAAAGUCCAGGGCUCAACCCUGGAAGGCCGGUGGAAACUGUCGGGCUAGAGUCCGGAAGAGGCGAGUGGAAUUCCCGGUGUAGCGGUGAAAUGCGCAGAUAUCGGGAGGAACACCGGUGGCGAAGGCGGCAUCCUGGACCGAUAUUGACGCUGAUGCGCGAAAGCCAGGGGAGCAAACGGG